rnacentral:rRNA from 1 species
CGAACGGGUGAGUAACGCGUGGGGAAGUCUGCCUUUGAGCGGGGGACAACAUUUGGAAACGAAUGCUAAUACCGCAUAAAAACUUUAAAACACAAGUUUUAAGUUUGAAAGAUGCAAUUGCAUCACUCAAAGAUGAUCCCGCGUUGUAUUAGCUAGUUGGUGAGGUAAAGGCUCACCAAGGCGAUGAUACAUAGCCGACCUGAGAGGGUGAUCGGCCACAUUGGGACUGAGACACGGCCCAAACUCCUACGGGAGGCAGCAUG